AAAGAAUUAGUUAAAUUAUAACAUUAGUUUGUCGUACUAAAAUUAUUAAAAAAUUAAUAUUUUUUA
rnacentral:tRNA from 1 species